GACGAACGCUGGCGGCGUGCUUAACACAUGCCAGUCGAACGGAAAGGCCCUGCUCUUGUGGGGUGCUCGAUUGGCGAACGGGUGAGUAACACGUGAGUAACCUGCCCUUGACUUUGGGAUAACUUCAGGAAACUGGGGCUAAUACCGGAUAGGAGCUCCUGCUGCAUGUUGGGGGUUGGAAAGUUUCGGCGGUUGGGGAUGGACUCGCGGCUUAUCAGCUUGUUGGUGGGGUAGUGGCUUACCAAGGCUUUGACGGGUAGCCGGCCUGAGAGGGUGACCGGCCACAUUGGGACUGAGAUACGGAGCAGACUCCUACGGGAGGCAGCAGUGGGGAAUAUUGCACAAUGGGCGGAAGCCUGAUGCAGCAACGCCGCGUGCGGGAUGACGGCCUUCGGGUUGUAAACCGCUUUCGCCUGUGACGAAGCGUGAGUGACGGUAAUGGGUAAAGAAGCACCGGCUAACUACGUG
rnacentral:rRNA from 1 species